rnacentral:lncRNA from 1 species
GAGAGUCAAGGUCCGGUGGCAGCACAAGGGCAGAGAGGAGGGAUAGUGUCUAUGGUAUUCAACAGUGCAUCUGGGUCUUUGUUUGUGAUCACACGAAGAAAAUGAACAACGAAAUGUAACUCAACAGCGAAUUCAAUAGCAGAUAUCAUGAUACAAAAUAAUCAGUCGAUGAGAAAUUAUACACAAACAUCUAUAGGGAUGUCGAUAAUAACAUCUCCUUCACCAGCACCUUCAGCCUAGCGGAAGCAAAAGCCCCAAACUCAGGAACACCUCGUAACCCCUCCCCGAUCCGCCAUCGCGGCUGCUGCCUGUCCCAGCUGCCGUCGCCGUCUCUUCUCCCUCCCUCUUUCUCUUCAUUCUGUGAGGACGAUGCAGAGAUGGAUCUCCGAAUUGGGUCUGCCCGGUGACUUGGGAAGUCCGAGUCUGAUCCUCGUAGCAACUUGAUCAAGCCAUGGAGAGAGAUCUCUCUCACUUUCGCUGUGUUUGCCUAGAAGUUACACGCGACCUUCCUUCAUUAGUGAAAAAGCCGUUCAGAUUGACAAAAUAAUUGCUUCGAAGAGGAAACACGGGGAGAGAGAGAGAGAGAGAUGGUGGCUUGGCCGAGGUGGGACGCGAAACGAUCGGCGUAGGCGAUGGCCGGGGGCGGCUCGACGACGAGGGGUGACGGCACGGGAAGGGGAGUCGACGGCGACGGCGACGCGUGGCGGAGGCUUGCGGUGACCGAUUGGUGGUAGGGAGAGACUGAGGGAAGAGUAGGGGAUUUUUCAGAGUCCGGAUAUUCUUUUUAAGGAAAAUUCGUCAAAAAAGUGAGGGCAGUUGGGUCAUUUAGGAGGGUAACCGCACCAUGCGCACACGGCGAGUGAACAGAUUUACCGGAGAUUCUCCAUAGGUUUUUUUUUUUAACAUGAGAUUCUCUAUACUUAAGGAGUAAUUUAUCUUAUAUUUUAUUCCUGGAGAAGUUGACACCACAUUUAACAUAUUAAUAAUGUCAUCAUGUCCUGAAUAUGUUAUUUUGUCAUAUUCAAAGUGGGCAUGGAAUUUGAGAUCUAACAUUAUGGGAUUUUAUAAAUGCAAAGCAAACAUAUGUGAAAUAUUUUAUCAGUAUUGACAAUUAACUUCACAUAAAAAAUUGGCUUCUCAUACAUGCACCUCAAAUUGGGAAACAAGAAGGGAGAAGGAAGAGGCAAAUGAAUCCAUUUGUAAUCGUAUUUAUUUAUUUUUUUUACCACAGAUUUACAUUUAAUUAAAUUAUGAAAUGCAAUCAUUGCGUGAAUCACGGGAUCCUAAUAUUGACACUUAUCUUAAUGCCUCCCUAGAUAAAAUUCAGCACAUUAAUAAAUAUGAACACCCACAGAAUCCAAUAGCUAAGAUGAAGUAAGCCCCUAUACAUCAGAUGCAUAUAAGAUUUUGCUCCUUCCACACGCGCAAACUCCUAGGAGGCAACGUGCGCAGAGGCAGACUACUAGAUGUGAAAACGAAAGGCCACCAGUUUAUUAUUCUAUUUGGAUCAAUUAAAUUUGUUUGUAAGCCUAUUUUACUUCUAAAUGGAGAAAUAGUGACUCCUUAAGGCCAAUUGGAAUAAUAGGCCGGUUGUCGAGGCCAUUAGGGAACAUGCGUCGAGGAUCGCUAGAAGUCAACUACUGAGAAAUUAUAUGAUAAGAUGAUUUAAGCAGUCAAAUUCACAAAAGAGAUGAUUUUAUUUGGCGCAUUAGCUCCACAUAAAGCCCAAUCGGACUCAAUUGCCAUUUGGUCUCCCGCCGUUCGCGGAAAUAAUUGUAGGCUUUUAUCAUAAAUAAAGUAUACAUUGGAAAGGUGGCAAUUAUUUACACGGGAGAUGAAAAAGAUCCACAACCCUCACAUUAAUCUUGUGAUGCAAUUAUUUCAUCCAUUACAUAAGCGGUAAAAUGAGUCUACGCAAUUAUGCCAAGAUACACAUGUACGUUUUUCAACAAUUUAUUUCUAUACAUGAGUUCACAGUUUGUUAUAGGUUUGUUAUGUUUAAAAGGAAAAAGAAAGGUGAUUGACUCGUUUCAGUUAAAAAUGAUCUUGUUACAACUAGCUACAUUUUAGGCGGCUAAACAUUCAACAAGGCAAAAUGCCAAAUAAAGCACCUUUGACUUCAGCUAUUUGGCUCUUCAUUAUCAAAUUCAUCGCGCAAAUUUCUUUGCUCAGCUUCACAAAAAUGCCCCCUCAAUUGAUAUUGCAUCUUCAUUUAUUUAUGCUUCCAUUAUGGAACUCCAUCCGGUAAAAACUGAGAAAUUAUACAUGAGCAUACACCAAAGAAUUAAUUCUUCAACAAAAGCAAACGUCGUGUCAUUAUCAACAAAGCUUGGCUUAGAAUUAUCACAACUACCAAUUUCACAGCCCUUUUCAUCAUCAUAUGAUGUCUAAAGAAAAAUAACAGAUAUAUGGAGCAUCAGUUCAUGUAUCAAACACCGUUUGUUUUGCAAAAAAUGAAUAAUUAAAAAAUUAAUUUUCUAAAAAUAAUCAUUUACCAAAAUGAAUGAACGAAAUAUAUAUUUCCCUUGUCCAUGAAAAUAUUAAAACAUAAAUUGUUAUCGAUAACAAAAAUAUUUUCCAUUUACUAAUUAUUUCAUUAAGCUAUUCUUUGCUUCAAAUAUUUUGGAAUAUUUUAUUCAUUCUCCUCCAUAAAUUCAUCAUAUAACUCGUCAUACAAAUAUGCUGGUUUUUUUUUUUUUUUUGCCUCUCCUCCUUUUGCUCCCCCAAUCUAAGGUAAUACACCAAGGAGAUUGUAUAGUUGACAUCAAAUAGUUGAUGUGUUAUAGAACAAUUGAUAUAUUUUAGUUUAUUUGGGCCAAAAUUACUUUAUCUAGUUGACUCAUAACAGGGUAAGCUUUGUGUGAUUGGACCUCACUAAGUUUGUUAACAGGCUUAAGGUUUCAGCUUUAACUUGCAUACUUUCCACGGAUGAUAGAAAUAGUGAUUAAGUGACGAAGUCCUUCAAUUUAAUUUCUCCUGGUGCAUUGACUACCAAUGACAUCUAUAGUACUUAUGUUGACUAGUUAAGAGAAAUGGACUACUAUUCCAAAUUAUAAAAGACCAAUUCGAUCAAAUCAAUUAAAAAGUGGUCUCUCCAAUUCACGUUGCCUCGUUCUUGGGAAGUCUUGAGUUUGAUCCUCGUAACAACUUGAUGACGCAAUGGAGAGAGAUCUCUCACUUUCGCUGCGUUCGCCUGGAAGUUACCUGCGGCCUUCCUUCGCAAGUGAAAAAACCAUUCAGAUCGACAAAAUAAUUGCUUCGAAGAGGAAACACGAAAGGAGAGAGAGAGAGCUGUGCAUCAGUUUUCACCUUCAAGCGAUGAGUGGGGAGUGGAGGACCAUCGCUUCCAAUCUCGCCAAGCCCAGAUACGGGCCUCGUCGGCUUCGGGCGACCUCAGAUCUGGUGUUGCCCACGACCGCGAAUAGACGGAGCGAGGCUGCCUCGAGGAGAGAGAGUCGGGGACAGAGAUGGUGGCUUGGCCGAGACGGGACGCGAAACGAUCGGGGCAGGCG